CUAAGGGCCUGAGUGGAAGUCAGUGCCCUAUGACAGCUGAAGGGACAACACACUGUCCAGCAUCAACUAAAAACCCCAGGCAACUUCUCUAGACUGCCAAAAACACAUAAUGGACACAGAAAAAGACACACCACUUUCAGAGAAGACUCAUCAGGAAGCAAGUUCUUAAAACCUUCACAAUUGGUAGAGCUGGUGGGCCGGGCACCACAGCGUCAGGGUGACUAUCAUUUUCUUCUUUGGUUCUGAGCACUCAUUGUGACAUCAUUCCAAGUUCCAUGCUUCUCUGUGACUUCACCAGGAGAUACAGAGCUUGUCUGACUGCCCAUCUUCAUGCGCGGACAUACUGAUCUAAGGCUUAAAUGAUUAACACCUUGAAUGGGCAUGGAUCGCUUUCUCACCCUGUGAACACCAUUCAUUUCAGAAGCUCUGCUUCUGCUGCAACUAGACAUGUCACUCAGUGUCUUGAGUAGAAAAGAGAAAGAGAAGGUCAUCCGUAGACUCUUAGUCCAGGCUCCUCCUGGGGAAUUUGUGAAUGCCUUUGAUGAUCUCUGUCUGCUUAUCCGCGAUGAGAAGCUCAUGCACCAUCAGGGUGAGUGUGCCGGCCAUCAGCACUGCCAGAAAUACUGUGUUCCACUCUGCAUCGAUGGCAACCCAGUCCUCCUGUCUCACCACAAUGUGAUGGGUGACUUCCGGUUCUUUGACUAUCAGAGCAAACUUUCUUUCAGGUUUGACCUGCUCCAGAAUCAGCUGAGAGACAUCCAAAGCCAUGGAAUCAUUCGGAAUGAGACUGAGUACCUGAGAUCUGUUGUUCUGUGCGCCUUAAAACUCUAUGUGAAUGAUCACUACCCAAGUGGAAAUUGCAAUGUGCUGAGAAAAACAGUCAAAAAUAAAGAAUUCUUAAUCGCUUGCAUAGAAGACCACAGCUACGACAAUGGAGACUGUUGGAAUGGUCUUUGGAAGUCUAAGUGGAUCUUCCAGGUGAACCCAUUUCUAACCCAAGUAACAGGAAGAAUUUUUGUGCAAGCUCACUUCUUCAGGUGUGUCAAUCUUCAUAUUGAAAUCUCCAAGGACCUGAAGGAAAGCUUGGAGGUGGUCAAUCAAGCCCAGUUGGCUCUCAGUUUUGCAAGGCUUGUGGAAGAACAAGAGAAUAAGUUUCAAGCUGCUGUCUUAGAAGAGUUACAGGAGCUGUCCAAUGAAGCCCUGAGAAAAAUUCUACGGAGGGACCUUCCAGUGACCCGCACCUUGAUUGACUGGCAGAGGAUCCUCUCUGACUUGAAUCUGUAUACUACAGGUGAGAAGAAAGUAAAUGAACUGUGAGGACUGGGAAGGAAAUGAUUAAGUUAAUAGCCAAAAGAAGAGAAGCAAGGAGCCAACCCCAAACGAAGAUCCUGAGAGCACAGCAAGGGAAAUAGAGGUUCUCCAUGGAGUGAGAUGCUCUGUCUCUGUCUGGAGUUUGGGUCACAUCCCAUCACCUGCUUUAAAACAUUUCUACGAACCCAUCAAUAGAAACCUGGAUGCUGUUGAA